ACUACAUCUUAACAGUAGUUUAGCAGACCUAUAGCAAGCACUUUAGAAAAAAAUACACUUUAGAAGGAUUUUUACAGAAAGCUUAUGCAAGGUUUUUGCCUAAAUGAAUUUAUUGAGAAGCCUGGAAGCAAUAAAGCCUGGCAUUAAUGAGGUUUAGUGAUAAAGUCUGAAGGGAAGCCAGAUUACAGAUUAUUAGUCUUCUGCUUUGAUAGACAAAACACACUUUCUGUUUUUCUUCUAUACUUGCUGCAUACUUCCUGUAAUCCAUCAUCAGCCGCUGUCUCAGAAGAAUAUAGUGCUUGCAGAUUAAUUUCACAAACGUUUAUCUCCCGUGUGUCCUUCAGACGAACACAGACAUCAGGAGAUUUAAGAGUGAACAGGCCGGAUAUCUGACUUUUACUUUCUAGAUAAUCAUGUCUCAGUUUUCAUCCUCUUGUUAGUUUCCUUGGUAACUGAUUAGCCCCUCCCUCGUUAUCCCGUCUAAUUAAACACCUGUGUUUCAGUCAUUAGAUGACCUCAUGUAGUUUCUUCUUCUUCUUCUUUGGGUUAUAUUCAUCAUUAAACACGCUGCGUUCGGAUCCUCCCGUUAUUUUCCACAACCGCAGCACUUUUCUAAUCAUCAACAUUUUGGUUUUUAUCAGGAAAUGAAGCCGGUCCUUGAUUGGAUCCCGGGAAGAAACAGGAAGUGUGCUAGGCUUAAAAAUGUUUUUUUAACAAUUGUUUUUUUUUAAAGCAAUUCAAUAGUCUUAGCCGUUUUUAACUAUAAUGAUAGGCCUUUUAAUAUCAUUUAUUGAGGUCUCCGUUGGCAAAGAGCACCGUCUGGACACUAAACGGUCACUGAGCGGGAAGCGUCUGGAAGGGCGUUCGUCUGAGAGGGUCGUCUCACUCCCGCAGUUCGCCGGUGAUGCGUUAAAUGAAGUUUGUUUGUCGCGGUGGAGGAGAAAUCGAUUCUCUGGGCUCCAGGAGAGAGAGACGCAGCCACAGUGAAGCCCAUUAGGACACACUCGAUGCAACUCAGCGCUUUCCCCCGCGCUGCUCCGGCGGUCGGCCGCAGACAGAAGAGGAGGACAGGUGAGCAGAAAGAUGGACUUUGCUGUACAGUGAACGGAGUAAGAAGACGCAUGGAUCGAUAAAGUCACUCCUGACAAAUAUCUGAAGCAACACAAGAUGAAGAGAGCGUGCCGAGGAGAGAGAGCUGAGGAUGAGCGGUGCUCACGCUGCAUGAAGCGGUCGAUAUAGACGAGAUCUUUCAGUGGCAUUACCAUAUUAGACACAGUUAACACAAUAAUAUUACAUGAAAAACAGGAGGAUGCUGAUGACAGAAGUGCUAAUAUCCGGCUGUUCAGGCUGACCACAGCUAAUAGACUCUAUUCUGUGGGCUGCUGCUUUAUGCAAGUGUUCAGUAAAGUCCCUGCCAGGUUCCUGUAAACGGCUGCUUUAGUAAUUAUCUGAAGCGCUUCGGCCCAAACUCAUCAAAAAUGGAUGCAUAUGCAUGCGUCUCCAGUUUCCCAGAUUAAACUGUACAGUUACAGAAGAAUGCAUUUCCCUUGCAUUUAUUAUUAUUCUUCAUUGGGGCUGAACUUAGUGAGAUUUGCACGAAAAGGCUGUUUUUAAUGUAAAUGUGUGCAAAAUAGCUCUGGGUUGCAUGCUUCCUCUCUGACACAGAUAUUAUCAGCGAGCACUGAUGAGGACGUGUGUACCGUGUGCGCAGGAAAAGAAACUCGGUUUACUUAUCCCAAAACAACAAGAAAACACUCUGUAAAUAUUCGAUUGAAGCGUCCAAUCAGUGAGCUGCUGCUCCUCGGCUCGUGUAAGCAUCAACGAGAGGCUUUUUCUCAAGCUGUCAAACACAGAGAAACAGGUGCAGCUUAUUUCCUUGCCGUUUUCUCUCACUCUCCGUCUCGGAUCUGGUCUCUGCACAGCUGGGAGCGGGGAUGUUUAUGUGUACACAUGUGAAACACACACACUCACACACACACACACGCUACCUCAGCGCACCAAUUUAGUUUCACAGCGAGGGGUUUGACCUGUGACCAUCAAGAAGGGACAAC